rfam:Stereum hirsutum FP-91666 SS1 unplaced genomic scaffold STEHIscaffold_12, whole genome shotgun sequence.
GGCUACCUGGCGCAAUGGUAGCGCGUUUGACUUCGAUUGUCUCUCGCUAUCAAAAGGCUGCAGGUUCGAGUCCUGCGGUGGUCA